rnacentral:rRNA from 1 species
UACAGAGGUCCCAAGCGUUGUUCGGAUUCACUGGGCGUAAAGGGUGCGUAGGUGGUCGGGUAAGUCUGAUGUGAAAUCUCCGAGCUUAACUCGGAAAUGGCAUUGGAUACUAUUCGGCUAGAGGGUUUGAGGGGGGACUGGAAUACCUGGUGUAGCAGUGAAAUGCGUAGAUAUCAAGUGGAACACCAGUGGCGAAGGCGAGUCCCUGGAAAACUCCUGACACUGAGGCACGAAAGCUAGGGGAGCAAACAGG